AUUGUUUCCUUGGGAUAAGUUCCCAGAAGUGGGAUUCCUGAGUGGAAGAUGGCCUUUUUCCCACUCCUAAGCCCCAAACCUAACGUAGCCCAGCCCCAGGACAGGAUUGGCCUUCCCGUGGUUUCAAGGAGGGGCUGCCAGCACGUCCCACCUGGUGCUUCCAGAGGAAAAGGACUGAUUCCUGGAAGGGCUCCGGCGAUGCGGGCCCAGGUGACUCAGCGCCCGGCUUCCUGGAGCCCGCCCAGGCCGCUCACCAGCCGGGAUGGGCUCUCCUGUGGCGGUCAUGGCCAGCGAGGAAAUGGUGCCUCGCUCCCUGGGGAAGUGGGUCUGUCGGCAGCUUCGGGAAAGGCCAGAAAGGAGAUUUGGAAAUCCGGUGGGCAGAUCAUUUUUGAUGCUUUCUGACAACAAAGGGCUCAAAGGGCUCUGGCCCCGGCCCCUCUGACCUGCCUGACAGGAAUGACCUGCUGUUCCCAGAGGAGGAGAUGGCCCCGGGGCUGAGGGUUAAGGAGGCCCCUGCACUGACCUGGGCCUCUGGCCCCGUGGCCUUCCACCACCUCCCCUUCCAGGGCCUCUCCAUGGGAGACGGGACCUUCUCCUGGGAACACCCCCUAUCAAGACGAGAGGAGUCAGCCCUGUGAGGAGCCUGAUGCAGUUUGCUUCCUGCACAAGAUUGGGAAUGCUCUGAAGGCAGGACCCGUGUCUGCGGUGUUUCAGACUCAAGGGAGUGAGUUCUCCAUCUCUGGAGGUACCCUGUGACCACAGACUUUUUAUAGAAGACCUUCUGUGCACAGGGCCAGGAAACCCCUUUGCCUCGGGAGAUGCACGUUUUAAAGACAAUGGGGGCCAGAAAGAAGUCUGGGCAGGAACUUGUCAGUCUGGGCAAUUGGCCAUUUGCACCCAAAUGCAGGUUAUUCUGGUUUUCCCUCUUCAACUGUGUCCAUGUCAGUCCCUAGUUCCAUUUGCUGAGGUUCCUGGAAAUGCCAUGUUCCCAUGCAAAGCAGCCAUCGGCACAUCAGCACAGCAAGCCUCCCACGGCCCAGUCCAGAUGCUUGACUGAAGCAGGCAGGCCCGAAGGCUGAGCCCCGUGGCCGACCCUUGGAGACUCUCGGUUCAGCUGCGGUGAAUUACAAAGCAUCAUCUCUGGCUGUCCUGUCCAGGGAGCUGACCUGCUCCUAACCGCCCCGCUCUCCAGCCUGCACUUUCCACUCUGCCGAAAGGACAACAUAAAGAGGUUGUUCCCCAGACACACUAUUAUCUGUCACACCUCCACGACUCGGCCUACAGUGUUCGCUUUGUCCCGGGCAUCCUGUCCCUCUUCCGCACCUGGCUGACUCCCACAUCAGGACAAAGGUCACGGAGCUGGGGAAGAAGAAAUCAGGAGGAGAGCCUGGGGGGCGUGCUGUUUCCUGCAGCCCCACCAGUGCGGAUGUCCGUCGUUUUACUGGUGUGCGCCCCUGCGGGUCCAAUUUCAAAGCGGUAUAAGGGUGUUGGAACACCUAACUGCCUUUCUCUGAGCGUCUGUUUCCCUUUAAGGCUGGGUCUGAGAACUGUAAUCCCUUAGGGAAUGAGUCAAGAGAAGUCCUUCAUUAGCUCAGAAUUGUGACAUGAGCUCAGCCCUGGAGAAUGUGGCUGAUUUGGGGGAAGUGGUCCUUCUGAGAUGAAAAGGCCACCCUUGAUGGGGGGAGGGGCCGAGGACCCGAGCCUGGCCCCGGGGGGCUACUGCCCCUGGGAUCUGAGGAGCAGAGAGCGGUUUUCCCAGCUGCCGCCUGGCCAGACAUGCCCCAAAUCCCACCAGCACGCCUGCCCCUUCUUAGGACAGGCGCUUCUCUGAACACGUAAAUAUUUUGUCUGGGAGAGGGAGCGCUUUGCUCGACUACUGAGGGAAAGGAAGAUGGAACUGAUUUACGGCGUGCCCGCUGCGGGAAAACGGGCCACACCGCCGUUAGGAUCCACGGGGCAACCUGGUGAGGGGAGAGGUACCCCCGCCCCUGCAGGAGGGAGGACAGGACGCAGAGGGUCAGCGUGCAGGCAGGCGCCUGGCAGAGCCAGAGUGCAGACAGCCCCGGCCCAGCCUUCUUGGCACGCGGCUCCCUGUAGGAGGAGACGAGACGGCGCAGCGCGAGGGUUCUGGGGGCACCCAGCCCUGGGUUCCUGGGUGGUGCUGCCUCCCACCAGCUGUAUCUUGAACAACCUUCACCUCCUGGGCUUCUCCCCACCUGCGGAUGGCAGAUGGCAUGGUCAGGGCACGGACACUGAGCCCCAGCCCCAGGCUAUGGUGGGGACAGAAGGAGAUAUGCAGAGUUGGUGACACCCUGUCUGCACUGAGGCUUGGUAAAGUCAAGGACAGUGUGCUUAUAUUUUUGUUUGUUUGGCAAAGAGAGAGACAGCGAGAGAGGGA